UUUCUAAAAUGAGUAAUAUUUUCAUUAUUAUUGAUUUUUUAUAAGUGAUAUAAAUGAUCAUAUUUAAGAAAACAUUUUCAAAAUUAAUCAUAAUCGUGAAACAAACGAAGCCCUUAUAUUAUAAAAUUAAUUUUUGUGACAUUCGUGUCUCACCCAUAUUGGCUCAAUCUUGGGUCACCAUCGGUGGGACUUUUUUAUUAAGUACUUUGGUUUUAUCUAUUGCGAGAACACUUCAUAUUCUCAAAAAUAUAUAAAAAUCGACGGAUAGUUCUAUGUCUGUAUUUUUAUAAUUUUUUUUCACACCCUAGAAAUAAAUGAAAGUUAAUUUCCAAAAGCAUAUUCAAUCUCUACUUCUAGAAAAUUAUGUCGUGAUUCAGCUUGAUUGCCCUUAAAAAUGGUAAAUUGAGUUGGAGAAAGUGAAGUUCAUGCAUAAUAUGUCACAAAAGGAAGUGUGUGACUUUUUUGUUGUACCGAAAUUAGAACCGCCAUUGUGAGUUAGUCGAGCUGGAUUUUCGAUGUAUCAAAUUGGAUUACCUAUGAUUGCUCGUCACUAGGAUGAUAGUUUAAGAAUUUAAUACUGAUAUGGUGAGCUGAACUACAAUUACAUGAAAGCUUUUUUUUUCUAUCAAAUCUUUGCAAAAGUUACAUAAAAUUAUUCUAAGUCCUGGAAC
rnacentral:lncRNA from 1 species